GUAGCGGUGGAAUGCAUAGAUAUCACGCAGAACUCCGAUUGCGAAGGCAGCUUACUAAGGUACAACUGACGCUGAAGCACGAAAGCGUGGGUAUCAAACAGGAUUAGAUACCCUGGUAGUCCACGCAGUAAACGAUGAUAACUGGGCGUAUGCGAUAUACAGUAUGCUCCUAAGCGAAAGCGUUAAGUUAUCCACCUGGGGAGUACGCCGGCAACGGUGAAACUCAAAGGAAUUGACGGGGGCCCGCACAAGCGGAGGAACAUGUGGUUUAAUUCGAUGAUACGCGAGGAACCUUACCCGGGAUUGAAAUGUAGAUGACCGCUCCUGAAAGGGAGUUUUCCUUCGGGACAUCUAUGUAGGUGCUGCAUGGUUGUCGUCAGCUCGUGCCGUGAGGUGUCGGCUUAAGUGCCAUAACGAGCGCAACCCCUGUCUACGGUUGCCAUCAGGUAAUGCUGGGAACUCCGUAGAGACUGCCGUCGUAAGGCGUGAGGAAGGUGGGGAUGACGUCAAAUCAGCACGGCCCUUACAUCCGGGGCGACACACGUGUUACAAUGGUAAGGACAAAGGGCAGCUACCUGGCGACAGGAUGCGAAUCUCUAAACCUUAUCACAGUUCGGAUCGGAGUCUGCAACUCGACUCCGUGAAGCUGGAUUCGCUAGUAAUCGCGCAUCAGCCAUGGCGCGGUGAAUACGUUCCCGGGCCUUGUACACACCGCCCGUCAAGCCAUGGGAGUCUGGAGUACCUAAAGUCCGUAACCGCAAGGGUCGGCCUAGGGUAAUACAGGUGACUGGGGCUAAGUCGUAACAAGGUAGCCGUACCGGAAGGUGCGGCUGGAACACCU
rnacentral:rRNA from 2 species